rnacentral:tRNA from 3 species
GGGAGCUUAGCUCAGCGGGAGAGCGCUUCCCUUACAAGGAAGAUGUCACAGGUUCAAAUCCUGUAGUUCCCA